rnacentral:rRNA from 1 species
UACGGAGGGUGCAAGCGUUAUCCGGAUUCACUGGGUUUAAAGGGUGCGUAGGCGGUCCGAUAAGUCAGUGGUGAAAGCCCGUAGCUCAACUACGGAAUUGCCAUUGAAACUGCCGGACUUGAAUCUGGUUGAAGUGGGCGGAAUAUAUCAUGUAGCGGUGAAAUGCUUAGAUAUGAUGUAGAACACCGAUUGCGAAGGCAGCUCACUAAGCCAACAUUGACGCUGAGGCACGAAAGCGUGGGGAGCGAAC